UCCCAUGAUGUCAGACCCUGGGGGUUUCCAGGGGCAACAACCCCGUAAGUGUCCCUGACACAGAGCAGCAUCAGAAGCUCCGGAGAAUGCAGUCUCUGAGAAGGGCUGCGGACACGGGGCCCAAAGCUGACAACCAGGAGGACUCCCUUGGCCUUUGAGGGUACAGCUGGAAGGUAAGAAGAAGAUGUGUCUCGCACAUCACGCAGCGCUCUGUGAAUGCUCGGGACAGCAGCGGGGAGGCCAGGUUGUGCACGCCGAGGCCGAGGCGGGGCACACUGAAAACAUGAGAGGCACAAGCAGGGCGUCCAGACUAUCUAAGGGAAAUGCUAAGAUCACUGAAGCAACCCUGGGUGUAUCUGUGCGUGUGUCUGCACAGACAAUUGACUGAAUGGGGAAGACGCGCCCAUCCUGACUGCGGCAGCAUCAUGCAGGGCUGCAAAGGGAAGAAGGGAAGGAGCCAUGAAGGCACAGCAGUCUUUCUGUGAGGAAAAUACCCCCUCAUGGUCUGCCACCAGACCCGUCCUGCCAGGAGACCCGCCCUGCCACGAGACCCGCCCUGCCACGAGACCCGUCCUGCCACGAGACCCGCCCUGCCACCAGACCCAUCCUGACA